rnacentral:lncRNA from 1 species
CAAAUUCUUCAAACAUUCUUUGCUUCUAUAUUUCAGUAAGAUUAUCAUGUUUGAAAUCCUCAUUAUGGGAGUUCAGCAUCUCAAAAACAAUUUCAGAAAUAACUUUCAAAUCAAAUUUGAUGCUAUGUAGCAUUCUUUUGCAUAGACAACAGAAUUGUAUAUGGUAGCAAACUUGAUUUGGAAGGCAAUAGGAUCAUCUUCUGAAUCUGAUAAUAAGCUAUAAAGAAAAGGCAAUCUUCUUCAGAUGCUCUUUAUAUUUUUGUCAAUAGUUUUUGACCCUGAAUCUCCUAUAAUAUUUGGAAGGCCUUCCAAAAGUAUACUACAACAAAAAUCCUUCAAUAACUUUUUAUUAUUAAAUUUUAUGCCACUUUCCGUCCUACUGCAUACUAAAGAGCAAUGCAUUUCAAUGUACUUCAUAGGCAAUACCCAAGCUUCUGGUAGGUCUUUUUUUAUUUUAUGUAUUUCUUGGAGAUAGUUAAAUGGUGGGAAUCAAUGCUGGAUCUAGGUAUUUUGUCACAUGAGAUAAAAUUAGAGAAUGAUAUCCUCUCUCCUCUUCACUCAGGUGCACUAAUAUAUAAAUAUAUAUAAUACUUUGGAACCAGGAAUGUAAUGACAUCAGAUACAUAGUCACUGAU